AGGUUCUUGACACUCCCCUGACCAACCGAGAGAUGGGCCGUUCCCCGUUCGGGGGGACAGGGUGACAGGGUGGUGCAUGGUUGUCGUCAGCUCGUGUCGCGAGGUGUUGGGUUAAGUCCCGCAACGAGCGCAACCCUCGACCUUAGUUGCCAGCAUUCAGUUGGGCACUCUAAGGUGACUGCCGGCUAAAAGUCGGAGGAAGGUGGGGAUGACGUCAAAUCAUCAUGCCCCUUAUGACCUGGGCUACACACGUGCUACAAUGGGCGGUACAAAGGGUCGCGAACCCGCGAGGGGGAGCCAAUCCCAAAAAGCCGCUCUCAGUUCGGAUUGCAGGCUGCAACUCGCCUGCAUGAAGUUGGAGUUGCUAGUAAACGCAGGUCAGCCAUACUGCGUUGAAUACGUUCCCGGGGCUU
rnacentral:rRNA from 1 species